GGGCCCGUGGCGUAGCAUGGACAGCGCGUCGGCCCUCUAAGCCGGAGAUCCUGGGUUCAAAUCCCAGCGGGCCCG
rnacentral:tRNA from 1 species